AACGAACGCUGGCGGCGCGUCUUAAGCAUGCAAGUCGAAUGGCAAGGGAGUGCUUGCACUCCCCUAGAAUGGCGGACUGGUGAGUAACACGUGGGUGACAUACCCUUAGGACGGGGAUAGCUUCUAGAAAUAGAAGAUAAUACCGGAUACGACCACUACAGUUAGAGUGUAGUGAGGAAAGGGGCUACGGCCCCGCCUGAGGAAUGGCCCGCGGCCCAUUAGCUAGUUGGUGAGGUAAAGGCCCACCAAGGCGAUGAUGGGUAUCCGGCCUAAGAGGGUGAACGGACACAUUGGGACUGAGAUACGGCCCAGACUCCUACGGGAGGCAGCAGCUAAGAAUAUUCCGCAAUGGACGAAAGUCUGACGGAGCGACGCCGCGUGGAUGAUGAAGGCCGUGAGGUUGUAAAGUCCUUUUGGACCUGACGAAUAAGCGUGGGAGGGAAUGCCUGCGUGGUGACGGUAGGGUUUGAAUAAGC
rnacentral:rRNA from 1 species